rnacentral:rRNA from 1 species
ACUCACCAGGUCAGGACACGGUAAGGAUUGACGGACUGAAGGCUCUUUCUCGAUUCCGUGGAAAGUGGUGCAUGGCCGUUUUGGUUGGUGGAUCGAUCCGUCUGGUUAAUUCCGUUAACGAACGAGACCUCGGCACUCCGAAUAGCGCGGCGGACGUCGCGGCCUCCGGGCCGUCUUCCGCACGAGCUUCUUAGAGGGACCGUCCCCCGCCGGGGAAGGAGGUGCGAGGCAACGACAGGUCUGUGAUGCCCUUAGAUGUUCUGGGCCGCACGCGCAUUACACUGACGCGUCCAACGGGUGACUCCCGACCCGAAGGGGCCGGGGAAUCCGCAAGGCGCGUCGUGAUGGGGAUUGAACGUUGCAAUUGUUGUUCACGAACGAGGAAUUCCUAGUAGGCGCGGGGUCAUCAACCCGCGCCGAUUACGUCCCUG